CGCACGUCGCGUGGUGUCCGGU
rnacentral:siRNA from 1 species